rnacentral:rRNA from 1 species
ACGUAGGGUGCAAGCGUUAAUCGGAAUUACUGGGCGUAAAGCGUGCGCAGGCGGUUUGCUAAGACAGAUGUGAAAUCCCCGGGCUUAACCUGGGAACUGCGUUUGUAACUGGCAAGCUAGAGUGUGGCAGAGGGGGGUGGAAUUCCAAGUGUAGCAGUGAAAUGCGCAGAUAUCAGGAAGAACACCCGUGGCUAAGGCGGCUCUCUAGUACGGUACUGACGCUGAGACGCGAAAGCGUGGGGAGCGAACAGGA